CCUACGGGUGGCAGCAGUGGGGGAUAUUGCACAAUGGGGGAAACCCUGAUGCAGCGACGCCGCGUGAGUGAAGAAGUAUUUCGGUAUGUAAAGCUCUAUCAGCAGGGAAGAAAAUGACGGUACCUGAUUAAGAAGCCCCGGCUAACUACGUGCCAGCAGCCGCGGUAAUACGUAGGGGGCAAGCGUUAUCCGGAUUUACUGGGUGUAAAGGGAGCGUAGAUGGCAGCAUAAGUCUGGUGUGAAAUGCCGGGGCUUAACCCCUGAACUGCAUUGGAAACUGUGAAGCUUGAGUGCAGGAGAGGUAAGUGGAAUUCGUAGUGUAGCGGUGAAAUGCGUAGAUAUUACGAGGAACACCAGUGGCGAAGGCGGCUUACUGGACUGCAACUGACGUUGAGGCUCGAAAGUGUGGGGAGCAAACAGGAUUAGAUACCCGAGUAGUC
rnacentral:rRNA from 1 species